GCCAGAGUGGCGAAAUUGGCAGACGCGCGGGACUCAAAAUCCCGUGGCCUUCGGGCCGUGUGGGUUCGACUCCCUCCUCUGGCA
rnacentral:tRNA from 1 species